UACGUAGGGUCCGAGCGUUGUCCGGAAUUACUGGGCGUAAAGAGCUCGUAGGUGGUUUGUCGCGUUGUUCGUGAAAACUCACAGCUUAACUGUGGGCGUGCGGGCGAUACGGGCAGACUUGAGUACUGCAGGGGAGACUGGAAUUCCUGGUGUAGCGGUGAAAUGCGUAGAUAUCUGGAGGAACACCGGUGGCGAAGGCGGCAUCCUGGACCGGCAUUGACGCUGAAUAGCGAAAGCCAGGGGAGCAAACGGG
rnacentral:rRNA from 1 species